AUUGAACGCUGGCGGAAUGCUUUACACAUGCAAGUCGAGCGGCAGCACGGGGGCAACCCUGGUGGCGAGCGGCGAACGGGUGAGUAAUACAUCGGAACAUGCCCAGUCGUGGGGGAUAACACUUCGAAAGAAGUGCUAAUACCGCAUACGUCCUGAGGGAGAAAGCGGGGGAUCGCAAGACCUCGCGCGAUUGGAGUGGCCGAUGUCAGAUUAGCUAGUUGGUCGGGUAAAGGCCUACCAAGGCAACGAUCUGUAGCUGGUCUGAGAGGAUGAUCAGCCACACUGGGACUGAGACACGGCCCAGACUCCUACGGGAGGCAGCAGUGGGGAAUUUUGGACAAUGGGGGCAACCCUGAUCCAGCCAUUCCGCGUGAGUGAAGAAGGCCUUCGGGUUGUAAAGCUCUUUCGGCAGGAACGAAACGGCGAGCUCUAACAUAGCUUGCUAAUGACGGUACCUGAAGAAGAAGCACCGGCUAACUACGUG
rnacentral:rRNA from 1 species